ACGAACAGCGUUCUUUCAUAUAAAAAGCAUUCUACCUAGUUCAGGAAACAACAUCUCGUCUUUUGCUCGCUAAGGAAGUCAUCCCAAUCUGAAGAUGCAGACUCUGUUUGUUUUUCUACUCCUGGCUGUUUGCAUGGCCGUUGCCAUGGCACAGUAUUGGGGUGGCGCUUACUAUGGAGGAUAUGGGUUGGGACCCUAUGGCUACGGAGGUCGCUCCUAUGCUGGUGCACCUAGCAGAUUAUAUGGCGGGUUGUAUGGCGGCUAUGGAUGGGGUGGAUAUGGAGGAUAUGGUGGAUACGGUGCUUACUGGAAGUAAGAAGAUCCAUAAUGAAAUGAAUUGCAGUCUGGAUUUUAUCAACCAGUAGCAUCCCCAUCAACAUUAUGAAUUCAUUUCAAUGUCAGUCAAAAUAUUUAUGUGAAACGAGAUUCAAUACUUCAUUGUUUUCUCAUUUCCAUUGAUUUGAAAUUUAAUAAAAAUUUUAAAACUUA